UACGUAGGGUGCAAGCGUUGUCCGGAAUUAUUGGGCGUAAAGAGCUCGUAGGCGGUCUGUUGCGUCGGGCGUGAAAUGCCGGGGCUCAACCCCGGGACUGCGUCCGAUACUUCCGAGCUGGAGGUAGGUAGGGGAGAUCGGAAUUCCUGGUGUAGCGGUGAAAUGCGCAGAUAUCAGGAGGAACACCGGUGGCGAAGGCGGAUCUCUGGGCCUUACCUGACGCUGAGGCGCGAAAGCUAGGGGAGCGAACAGG
rnacentral:rRNA from 1 species